rnacentral:rRNA from 1 species
GGGACCCCGCACAAGGCGGUGGAUCAUGUUGUUUAAUCGAUGAUACGCGAAGAAUCUACCAGGUCUUGACAUCCCCCGCGAUGCUUUAGAGAUAAAGCGGAGGUAUUCGGGGAGACAGGUGGUGCAUGGUUGUCGUCAGCUCGUGUCGUGAGAUGUUGGGUUAAGUCCCGCAACGAGCGCAACCCUUGUGUUUAGUUGCAAACAGGUCAAGCUGUGCACUCUAGACAGACUGCCGUGGACAACACGGAGGAAGGUGGGGAUGACGUCAAAUCAUCAUGCCCCUUAUGAUCUGGGCUACACACGUGCUACAAUGGCCGGUACAACGGGCAGCGAAGGAGCGAUCCGGAGCGAAUCCUAAAAAGCCGGUCCCAGUUCGGAUUGCAGGCUGAAACUCGCCUACAUGAAGUUGGAGUUGCUAGUAAUCGCGAAUCAGAAUGUCGCGGUGAAUGCGUUCCCGGGUCUU